GCAUAUCAAUAAGCGGAGGAAAAGAAAAUAACAAUGAUUCCUUUAGUAACUGCGAGUGAAGAGGGAUAAGCUCAAAUUUUAAAUCUGUUAGGUUAGUCUACCUAACCGAGUUGUAAUUUGAAGAAGCGUUUUCUGCGUAUUUGGUCAGCCCAAGUCCUAUUGAAUGAGGCAUCAUGGAGGGUGAUAAUCCCGUCCGGUUGAUCAUUGCGUUUUAUGAUACGUUUUCUAAGAGUCAAGUUGUUUGGGAUUGCAGCUUAAAAUGGGAGGUAAAUUUCUCCUAAGGCUAAAUAACGGCGAGAGACCGAUAGCGAACAAGUACCGUGAGGGAAAGAUGAAAAGAACUUUGAAAAGAGAGUUAAAUAGUACGUGAAAUUGUUGAAAAGGAAACGAUUGAAGUCAGUCGUACUUGCGGAUAAUCAACCUUUAGGAUGCGAUUUUAUGGAGCGUGAGGAGCUAAUCGCCUUCGUGCUUGUAUAUUUCGUGUACUUGAGGUGUACUUAUUCGUGCGGUAGGUUAACAUCAAUUUUGGACGUCAUAAAAUGGCUGGAGGAAUGUAGCUUCGAUCUCGUAUUGAAGUGUUAUAGCCUUCGGUAGAUGUGAUGAUCGGGAUUGAGGAUUGCAACGGAUACCUUUCGGGGCUACUCGUCUGAUCUCUGAUUGUUGCUUUGGUGCUGAAAGCGUGCUUAUGGUUAUCAAAGUCGAUGGUCGACAGGUUAGAACGGGUUAAAUUCGUUAAGGAUGUUGACGUA
rnacentral:rRNA from 1 species